CCUACGGGUGGCAGCAGUGAGGAAUAUUGGUCAAUGGCCGGAAGGCUGAACCAGCCAAGCCGCGUGAAGGACGACGGCGCUAAGCAUUGUAAACUUCUUUUGUCAAGGGACAAAAUCAGGCACGUGAGCCUGACCGAGGGUACUUGAAGAAAAAGCAUCGGCUAACUCCGUGCCAGCAGCCGCGGUAAUACGGAGGAUGCGAGCGUUAUCCGGAUUUAUGGGGUUUAGGGGGUGCGUAGGCGGACUGUUAAGUCAGCGGUAAAAGCCCGGGGCUCAACCCCGGAGCGCCGUUGAAACUGGCUGUCUAGAGAGGUCGAGCGGUAUGCGGAAUGCGCAGUGUAGCGGUGAAAUGCUUAGAUAUUACGCAGAACACCGAUUGCGAAGGCAGCAUACCGGCCGCGAUCUGACGCUGAGGCACGAAAGCGUGGGGAGCGAACAGGAUUAGAUACCCGAGUAGUC
rnacentral:rRNA from 1 species